AAAGAUUGAAGGGGUUCAAGAGUGAAACAGAAAGACUUUAAAGGCUGUUAUAGCAUUCCAAGUUAAAGAUGAUGGUUAUUGAACUAGAGAAGCAGUUGAGGUGAUGAGAAGGGUUUCGAUUCAGAAUUGAUUUUGAAAGUUUAUUGUACUUUAAAAUUGGACAUUGGGUAUGAGAAAGAAAAACUGCAUUCAGUAAGGCAGAGAAUACUUAAGGAGGUGCAGGUUUGAGAGAAAAUUAAAAAUUUAGUUUUGACCACAUUAAGUUUCAGAUGACCAUUGCCAUCAAGUAAUUGCAACAGUGGAGCAAAAUAACAGUUCUGGUAUUUCAAUAUUUAAUAUAUUACUGCCUUACUGAGUUGCAAUAAGUGACAAAAACAUAUACAUCAUAGAAUUAACAUAAGAAUGAACUGUGAAGAACAAAUGCCUUAUAUUUCAGGUAAAAGGUAAAUAUAUUCCAUAUACUCUGGAAUAAGGACCUACUGAAAGACUGCUGAGGAUUUGAGGAAUCUAUUUUUGUGUGUGUGGACUGUUACUAUUAAUAGUUCUGUGCUGUGUAUACCACCAGCUCCCAAUAAAUGUCGCAUUCAGAGCAUUUUUGCACUAGGAAGAUUUAGGGUGCAAAUGAACUCUGACAGAAGAAUCUGUAGUAUACAAGGUUUUCAGAAGACAACCCACCUGCUCCAUACUUCGAAAUAAUGAGAUUCACAACGAUUAUGAUCUUUGGCCGGGCGCGG
rnacentral:lncRNA from 1 species